rnacentral:misc_RNA from 1 species
AAAGUCGUAACAAGGUUUCCGUAGGUGAACCUGCGGAAGGAUCAUUCAUAAUAAAGUGUUUUUAUGGCACUCUAAAAUCCAUAUCCACCUUGUGUGCAAUGUCAUCUCACUUGGGGUCCCGGCUGUAACAAUCCGGCGGCCUCGUUUGGGAUCUAUAUCUACUCAGAACUUUAAUCAUUUUGUCUGAACCAUAUUAUGAAUAACUUAAUUCAAAAUACAACUUUCAACAACGGAUCUCUUGGCUCUC